rnacentral:rRNA from 1 species
UACGAAGGGGGCUAGCGUUGCUCGGAAUCACUGGGCGUAAAGGGCGCGUAGGCGGCCAUUCAAGUCGGGGGUGAAAGCCUGUGGCUCAACCACAGAAUUGCCUUCGAUACUGUUUGGCUUGAGUUUGGUAGAGGUUGGUGGAACUGCGAGUGUAGAGGUGAAAUUCGUAGAUAUUCGCAAGAACACCAGUGGCGAAGGCGGCCAACUGGACCAAUACUGACGCUGAGGCGCGAAAGCGUGGGGAGCAAACAGGG